CCCCCGAACCCCCUGGAUAGUCUCCCGCACAAAAAAAAAAAUGUGCGCACAUCGCCUUCAGACGGCUGCUACUGACAGACAAGACGCAUCCAGCUGCCUUUCCGGGGCCCUUCUCCUUCUUUUACUCCACCCCUCCGACAAGCGUCACCCUGACAGUCAGAGCCCACCUGUCAAUCUGCAACUCUAAUUAUUGUAAGGAGGGAUGGCUCUCCUUUUACCUAAGCAGGGGUUGAGGAGAGGUGCGUCCCUGACGUGCGCGUAGAAGAGGAGCAUGGACGCACCUUUGGAAACCGCGCUCAGACAAAAGAAUGAGUGGCGCCGGGAGAAACACAGAAACAGCCCCCCCAAAAAAGUUUGUUUCGCUGUCAGUUUAUGCUCCUAUUUUAUGAGGAUUUGAGUAUCAUUUUUCCUUUUAUUAUGAGAGUAAUGUGAUUUAUUCAUAACCUAUUUCUUAAGUUCACUGUAGCCUACAUGCAUGUGUACAAACACGUUGACUUAUUUUAGGUAUUUUUUGUUGUGAUCAAAUUACUUUUACACCAGUUGUCUGAAUCAUAAGUAGGUUUUUAUGUUUAAUUCUACUAUUCUAAAAUUAGGAUUCUUAAUCUAUGCUCACUUUAAUUGUUGUAAUAGCAUCUCAUUUAUAGUAACUAUUGUUGUUCAGUGCAUUUUGUAACAUCUCUGUUCCUCCUCCCCCCAAAGUUGAGGUACACUGCAGUUUUAUUGUCUCCUGUUUUUAUCUCAAAUACAUCAGCUGACAUUUGACUAAUCUGCUAUGACUAAAAAUUAACUACUCUGAUGAAUCAAAUCAAAUCAUUUAUCCAAUGAUAUCGGUAUAUGCAUUUUAUUUGCUUAUAUUUUUUGUCAAUUUUGAAACAGAAAUUAUGUAUAAGUUUACCAGCUAACUGGUUGCCAUUUAACUUAUAGUUAUAUUCUUAGUUAAUAAGAAAACAAUUAAGAAUAGUUACAUGCCAACCACUUUUUAAAAGUUGCUCACUAUUACUGCAGUUAUCUCUGUGUAUUCUGAAUGUACUUCUGUUUCAGCACCUCAGAUUUUUCUGGGUUGCUUCUCGUCUUGUCAGCCUCUCGUCGUUCAUGCUGAUCCUGGUUCUGCUGGAAGAUCCCUCUGGUUAAAAGUGGGUGGCUCUUUUCCACUGUCACCACAUGCUUGGGGAAUUGUUGUGAGAUCUAGUUAAAGUAUAGGACACAAACUUAAAUUCUUGCUCAAACAAAGCAGCUUUCCCAACAAGUUUCAUUACCAGCCACUGCUUUUCACAAAGUUGAUGCUGAUUUAUAAUUCAACUCGUAUAUCAACCUAACUCUUUUUUUUUUUUUUUUGCUGUAAAUUGUCCAAAUUUCUAAGAAAAAUGUAAACUGUGCCUAAGAUUUCAGUCGUUACAAAGGAGUUUUAAAACCUAUCUGCUGGAUUUGAUUUGGAAUAAUUUUAUUGACUAGAAUUUAAUAACCUCAAAGAAACACGUUUUACAGUGUAAAACCUAAUUUAACCCAUUAUUUGUUGCUAGCAAUUGUUUUUUUUUUCUGUUUUUUUUUUUAACUAAUAGAUCUGGAUGAUUAAUGAGAUCACAGAUCUGACACACAUGCUUGCUUUUACUACAUAAAGCUUUUUUAAGCACUUUGUAAAAAUUCCCAAAACACUCUUUUUCUCUUUUGCGCACAAGUUUCAAGAGUUCCUUCAGAGCUGCUCUGCAUCACAGUAAAAAAAAAAAAAGAAAGAAAAGAAAAGGAAAGGAAAAGAAAACAUUGUGUAUAUUUUCAGUGACCUCUUUACUGGGACAAAGGAGGCUGCAGAUCGAUUCGUUACACCUUUUUAGCGAGGCUUCUGGUGAAGGGGAGGGGCUCUGGAGCCACUGGAGACUCCAUUAAUAGCCUCCUCUACGUCCAAACUAUUAUCUACCAUAAAGUGUUUAUAAAGAGCCCCCAACUUGAGCCUUAAUAUGUUGUUUCAAAUGAGGCGACGUGACGGUGGUUAAGAGGGAGAGAAAAAGUAGAGGGGAGAUCAGAUUAUUUUCUCUUUAAAUAAUCACUUGGAUGGCAUGAAAUCUAGCGCUGUGCGCAUCACGCAUCGGACUUUCUUUAUUUUAUUUUUUUUUUAAUUCCUCCAGCUUCAUGGAUUCCAAUCUUACAGAAACGGAGUCAAAACUUUCUCCAAUUCUAAUUCUGCUCUGACACAUUCAUGCAAAGGAGAAGACACACUGCAGAGAAGUCCUGCAUGCAGGAUGUCGAAUCAGGUUGUCUUAAAGAAACAAGGACGGAUGCAGGACAGUUCAGUUAAUUGUUGAAGGAAUUGGCCUGACUCGACUAUAAUCAAUACGUUUUAACAAAAUGGAGCUACGAUCCAGCUGUGCUGCUUCCAUCUCCCAAACAUUACUCUGUCUGAUCUUGGGAAGCUAUUAUCUCUCCGACAAAAGACGGAUCUCAGAAACAGAAUGACUCUGUCUUCGAUCUGACUCGGAAUGGAAAGUCUUUACGAGACAAUUUUUGUUGGACGCCGGAAAAGCUCGUGAAAUAUUUGCCUUUAACGAGACGUUUCCUCCUGCCAGAUAUCGCCCUGAUCAAUGACGCUUCUGCUCCAAGAGAAACGGCAAUACCUGGAACCCCGGUAAAAACCCUGCGUCACUCAAUCCCUCACUGACACAACAUCCAGGAUUUAGCUCGGUUUAAUCCGAGGACCCCCGUCGUCUCCCACCAGGAACUACAGCUGCUGGCAGCAGAUCCUCCUGGAUCGCUGCUGAAGACGACGGUCACACCUUCCCGAGUCUGGUUCAGCUGGAUUCUUCCUGUUGAAAGAUAACUUUCCCUUUUCCCCACAUUAAAAUAAUUGACUGUCAUGAUCAACUGAUCAUAUUUGCUUUUACAGUGUUAAAUCGGAAACAUUUAGAUCAAGGUGGAAUGCAUUUGUUUAGAUUUCAAUUGGAAUCUGAUGUCAGAAAAAAAAUCGCAUUCAAUGUAUCGUGAUUCGGAUGGGUUCAGUUUUUCUGUAUUAAAAUCUCACUUGGAUGACUAUGUAGUUGAGGCCCUCUCUCUCUCUCUCCCUCUCUUUCUCUCUCUCUCUGUAUAUAAAACUUGUUAAAAUGCCUCAAAUCUGUACCAAAUGAUUUUGUAGUAUUACGUCUUAUUUUUUCAUUACUUAUUUGACUUUAAUAUAUGUUACCUGAUUAUUUUCUAAUAAAACACAUUUUCUGUGU